GUCCUACUAAGAAAAUUUACAUCCGCUUAUGAAUUACAAUAACAAAAAACUAGUACAAGAUGGUUCAGAUAAUGAAAGGAAAAGAUAGCCAAUUCAAGUUUUGUAGAGUUAUUUCUAAAUUUUAAGAGUCUAAGGAGAUAACACAUGAAGAUUUGUGACUUUCAUGAUCAUUAUCAGCUAUCAAAUUUGAUGUAGUUCAUAAGAAAGUCCUAAAAAACUCAGAUUUCUUUUUGUCCCAUUUUUACUUCAGCCUAUUUUUUCCCCUUCUUUUUUCCAGUUGCAGUACUUAGGAGUCUUCGCUGUCGUGUGUAAGCAAACUCUCCAAAUUUAUGACCGACCUUUAUCUUACAACGAACAAAUGUUCUUCCAUUGCAAAUUCAUGCCGUGUAACCAACAAAUUCUGGUAUAAAAACAGAUCUACGAGACCAAAUUUUCUUGUUAGCAAGU
rnacentral:misc_RNA from 1 species